GGCUGUGUCCCCACCCAAAUCUCAACUUGAAUUGUAUCUCCCAGAAUACUGCAUGUUGUGGGAGGGACCCAGGGGGAGGUAACUGAAUCAUGGGGGUUGGUCUUUCCCCUGCUAUUCUUGUGAUAUUGAAUAAGUCUCAUGAGAUCUAAUGGAUUUAUGAGGGGUUUACCCUUUGCUUCUUCCUCAUUUUUCUCUUGCCACCACGACUAAGAAGUGCCUUUUGACUUCGCCAUUAUUCUGAGGCCUCCCCAGCCAGGUGGAACAUCAGUUAAACAUCUUUAU